rnacentral:lncRNA from 1 species
UUUUUUUUUUUUUUUUAGGGAAAGAGGUGGGGGAGCUCUAGGGUAAGUAAAGUAUGAUCAUCUUCCCUAAAGAUGUCACUUCAGUGACUUGAAAUGAAAACCUGUAUAUUCUAAAUGACCAAGUUUAAUUCACAUUUUUGAUCUGUAAACACACAGGCAAUAAGGAAAAGGCCAAGACGAUACUUUUAAAUGACUUUAAGAGCCCGGAAUAUGAGGAAGAAACCUAGAUAGCAGGAGGACUUGAUAAACUUGGCUUUGUUCCAGUUCAAUAAACAUGAUGGCCAUGAGAUUAAAUACUAAGUAAACAUCAUCCAAGACCAAGUUCUUUAAAAAGGAAAAGAAUUUAGGAGUUCCCUAGUGGUCUAGUGGUUAGGGCUCGGCACUUUCACCGAUGCAGCUCCGGUUCUAUCCCUGGUCUGGGAACUGAGAUCCCACAUCAAGCUGCUGCACCUUGUGGCCAAAAUAAAAUAAAAAGUACCCAUUCAUCACUGUACUUUGAACUCUGGGGAUAAGGAAGGCAAGGAGGGAGGAAAAGAAUUUACAAGGAACAGACCUGGACUUCAAACCAGUACUAGAUCUACUCAGAACACUUUGGCUAGAAAAUCAUAUAAUCAUAGUCCCUCUGGAUGGGGAGACCUCAAAGGUCACGAAUUCCUGGCGCUAACCCCCCACUACAAUAAUCCAGGUGAGUGAGAAGUGAUCCUCUGUGAACACCUUCAACAACUAAAUUCAAGACCUUCACUAUUAGAAAUCUAUUCUUGGAGUUCCCAUCAUGGCUCAGUGGAUAACAAACCCAACUAGUAUCUAUGAGGAAGCAGGUUUGAUCCCUGGCCUCGCUCAGUGAGUCAAGAAUCCGGCGUUGACAUGAGCUGUGGUGUAGGUCGCAGGCAUGGCUCGGAUCUGGCAUUGCUGUGGCUGUGACAUAGGCCAGCAGCUACAGCUCCAAUUCUACCCCUAGCCUGGGAACCUCCAUAUACCGCAGGUACACCCCUAAAAAGACAAAAAGAAAAGAAAAAGAAAACUAUUCUUUUCAUACAGAAUGCCAAAUUGUACCUCCAAAGGGAGUGGCAACGACCGCUUGGAUCCAAAUCCCUCUUCCUGAAAUCAUUCCUAGAAGUACUUUAAGGUGGCCACCGUGUAUCACCCGGAACCACCUCUUCUACAGAAGGAACAUUCCCAGAUUCUCUUCUCACAUAGUAUGGUCUGAGACAAACCUCUUCCCAGUCCUCACCCCUCUCCCUCAAGCCUACAAAUCUUGAGUUUUGAGAUGACUGAUGACAGUCACCUGUUAAUCCAAAGCCUUCAAUAUUCCAUCUACCCAAUACAGUUGAUAAAACUGCACUUGAUUAGGACAGAUUGAGGGUGAUAUCUAUUUGAUUAACAUAUAUCCUUUAGUGAUCAAGUCUGUGGCGCAAUCUUUCUUUUUAAAAACAACUCAUUUAAAAAAAAAAAAAAAACUCUCAAGUUUCACCUCAUUUACUAUUUAAAUGAAAAGUGCCGUGGGUCUACCACAAAAUUCUCUUUGUGGAAUCUUAAAGUUUUAAAGAACUACAGAAUAUGAACUGAUUCAGCUCUAUACGAACAUAAAAAAUAAUAAUAAAAGAAUAUGACAUAAGCCCUAAGCUUACGGGGACAGACCUGACAACCCAUUUUUACAUUCCCACCUUUCAAAGCAUACGUCAAGUUCAAAUUUCAGAUUUAGCCCAUCUUUUGGUCUCUUGGGGAUCCAAGACCCAAAGGUAAUCAACACACCCAAUUAUCAAAUAUUUACUGAGGGUCUAUUAUGUACCCAGGAUGCUAAAUCAUGGCAAGACUAUAAAGACUCAGAGCACCAAAUCACCACCCAGUAAGUUAAAAUCUACUCAGAUAAAAUAGUCACCAUUUUUAAAAGAAUAAUGAAUAAUGCAAAACAGCACAUACACAAGCUCAAAAUAAGUGACACAUCUGACAUCGACAUGUGAACAGCCACAAAAGACUUAAGAUGUCCAUGACAGUGAAGCAGGCUCUAGCUCCCUCCGAGCCCCAAAAGAAUAACACCCAAAUAAAUGGACAAGGAAUUUUACCCAUUAAUAACAUUUAAUUCCACUGACUGUCCUCUUCUUCCAAAUCUAUCCAACCCUAAAACGUAGCAUCACCAGCGCUACACUAUUUGAAGAACUUUUGUUCCCCAACGAAACAUAUGAAGUCACAAAAAAGAGAAGAGAAGAACCUUAAUUAAAAUGAAUUACAAAGUCAUCCUUAGGGAUAAGAAUAUUCCACCAUAAGGGGUUUUAGUGUUAUGCUAAGUAAAACUUAUACAGCAGUUCAAGAAGGACCUAAUAUCUAAUUCUGUUCUGUAAUGAACGGUGUUACUUGGGGAUUUUAGGAGCUAAGGAAGGAUGAGCCAGCAGUACAGCUGGUCAAGCUAUUUUGGAAUUAAGGAAUUCAAUGGACAUGCUGGGGAUUGAAAGCCACAAAAAUAAGACAGUUAGUCUUUAUGUACAUCCAUGGGGUGAAAACUGUUAUAUAUAAUUCAGCUAAUUACAUACUGUAAGAACACUGGAGUAAAACUUGGCUCUGCUAUCCUGGUUAAAAAGGUUCUCCCUUCAGACUGAUCACUGGCUGUUUUACAGUCAGUGGCUCCUUGGCAUUAAACGUGAGGCAGUUCACCAAAUAGCUCCUUUCUAUAUCCCUUCAUCUUGUUCUGACCAUGACCUAAGUGUUACACUAUUUUCUCUUCUUUUUAAAUAUUUUAAAUGGGGCAGAAAACAGGUGCAAUUCUCAAACUGCUAUUGCCUCUCAAAAGGUCAAAAACAUUGUAGGUGGCAACAGAAAUGCUGCCCUCUGCCACUGUUUUCAGAACAGCUGUACAAGUGCUAGACCUUGGUUCUUAACCUUUUAUGGGUCACUGACCCCUUAGAGAAUCUGAUGAAAGCAAGAAAAACGUGUGUACACAAAAUCUUCUGCCCAAGACUUCUGGGACAUUUUUGAACCCUUUAAAAGCUCAGCAGAAAGUGAAAAACUUGUAAGCCAGACUGUGAACCCCAUGGGGCACGGAUUAUGUUCUCUUUCUGGUUUUUACGCUCAAUUCUUAAGAUAACCAUUGCCCCAUGAGUAACUAAUUCUCAUCUACUCAAGACAUGGAUAAAUAGCUAAGAAUAGGUGGAUGGAUGAAAAAUACAAUAUCAGAGUUUUUUUAGUGGUUUCCAAGUCUGGUUAUCAUACAAUCACUGGGUAUUCUUCAGAAGAGCCUCCUGGGGCCCACCCUCUGAGAGAUGCAGAUUCAGCAGGUCUUGAGUGACACUUAGUAAUCUGUAUUUAUAUAAAGUUCCAUGGUGAUUAGGAAAUCAAGGAUAUGCCUUAACUCAGUGGAAGAAAGCUUUAAUUUUUUUUAACCUAAUAUGCAUUCGAAGGUAAUAUACAACCAUGUGUUGCACAAACAGAAACAGAGAAAGGAAGUUGUCUCAACUGCUCCAAGUGGGCCUGGCCAACCGCUGAGUGUCAGAGUUUACCAUCCUGAUACUAAAAAAAAAUCUGAUUAGUGUGUUUGGUGGUUUGUUUGUUUUGUUUUCCCUGAAAGGUCAUGCUAUGAUUCACAACCAGACGUUUACUCGUGGCUAGUUUACAUCAAGAGGUUUAGCACAGCUGCCGGUGAGAUCUCCACAUCAUUAGAAGCACAGCUUUGCUAAACCUUCCCGACAAGUUUUGAUGCCACAGAAAAACCGCAAAAUAGGAAUGGAUAUGCUUUAGUUUAGAAGAACUUCUUGACCUGGGUAAUUUUUUUUUUCCCACAAUUAAAAUAGCUUUCAACAGAAGGGCACUGCCAUGCAACACCUUCAAGGGUAUGACUUAUUAUUGUUCACUGGGUGAUUAGGAGACUAGGCUUAACCUGCCCGAGCAAUCAGGUGCCUCAAUUUCCUCUUUCCUACAGAAGUAAAAUUUUUAAAUCCUGGUCCCCUUCUCAUUCCUAUUUUCUACAGAUCAAUGAGACUGUUCAUUUCCUUCCUUCCUCCAUAUAAAAAAUGGUGCUGGACCCUGGCCUGUGUGCCAGGUAUCCUAGCCCCCUGCCCAAUAUAAACUUCAGACAGCAGGCCCCCUGCCCUCGUGUUGCUCAGUCUGCUAUCCAUGGCCAGAGGUCAUGAAAACAAGAAAUUCCUUACUGGAGUCACGACAUUCCUCAAAGAUGACAACCUGAUGAGUCUCAAGAAAGAACCAAGACUGUAGUUUCUAUUAAGUUAGGGCACAUCUCAGUAUGAUAAUAUUUUCCUCACCCCCAGCAACAUGGCAUGUAUGCAGGAGAGAACGAGACCCAGGGGAGUCAAAAGGCUGGAGUAACAGUCCAGACCCAGCUUCCUAUGUGACCCCUGAUUUUAUACCAACUAAUAAGAAUCCCACUGACAUACUGGAGAUUGAGAGCUAGGUAUAUUAUUACCUGACAACGUUAUUACAUUACUGAGCAGAAGAGAACUAGAGUGCCGUCUUACAAAAUAAUAAGAUAUGUUCAGACAAGUGAGAUAAACUGACACAUCUAAGUAGAGGGCACAAGAGUCACACCUAAGUCUGGGUUCAAACGACACAAGAAUUGGGACGACUCAAAGAGUGGUACACACUCAAAUUUUCCUCCAAACUCUAACACUGUUUAACACUCUAACACCAUGAGAGAGAAUGUCAUCUUCUCAUUUUAUAGAUCCCAAGGCCCAAAACUAAAGUGCCUUGCUUGGAACAGUGCAAAAGCAUUGAAUAACCACCUCCAAAUUUUCAGUCCAAACGAAGCUCACCAUGAUGCCCCAUUAGCUUCUCAAAAAGGUCCGCCUCUCCUUAUAAAUGGAGUUAAACAGACUUUUCUCAAAUGAGCCAUUGUAAAACACACAAAACAAAAUGAAAUGGUUUACACAACUUAAAGCAAAUGUAAGAGCUUGGGCCCUAGAUCUACACUGCUACAGGACUUCAGGGAGACGACUGAACAGCUCAGUGCCUCAGCUUCCUCAUCCGUAAAAUGGGAAUAAAAGGAAUAACCAGCUCAGAGUUGUGACAAGUAACAGUGCCUGGAACACAUUAAGUGCUCAGCAAAUAUUCAUUACAAUCGUCACUAUUAUAACCUCCCUCUAAAUUCAACUGUCUGGUACUUAGAGGAAUAAACAAGUUUCGCUAUUGCUAUAGACUACAGAAAACGUCUUUAUCAUGUAUUUACAACACAGUCGUUCCUCAAAAAAAAACAAUUUUUUUUAAACAAACAGUAAUUAAAAAGUUCCCUUUCUCAACUGGCCUAAUGUACCCACAUAAACCCAGGCUCCACGCACACCUCAAUUAAAGAACAGUCAAAGGCAGUGUCUGCUCUCUGCAGCCUUUCACACCUCAGCAGAAUGUGCAUAAACAGUCUUUUUGCUUCAGAGGGCUGUUCCGAGAAUAAAUGGUU